rnacentral:rRNA from 1 species
CCUCAGUAACGGCGAGUGAAGCGGCAACAGCUCAAAUUUGAAAUCUGGCCUCCUUGGGGGUCCGAGUUGUAAUUUGUAGAGGAUGCUUCGGCGUGGGCCCCGGUCUAAGUUCCUUGGAACAGGACGUCACAGAGGGUGAGAAUCCCGUACGUGGCCGUGGGUGCUCGCCAUGUGAAGCUCCUUCGACGAGUCGAGUUGUUUGGGAAUGCAGCUCUAAAUGGGAGGUAUAUUUCUUCUAAAGCUAAAUAUUGGCCAGAGACCGAUAGCGCACAAGUAGAGUGAUCGAAAGAUGAAAAGCACUUUGGAAAGAGAGUCAAAAAGUACGUGAAAUUGUUGAAAGGGAAGCGCUUGCAACCAGACCUGUCUGCAGUUGCUCAUCCGGGCUUCUGCCCGGUGCACUCUUCUGCAGUCAGGCCAGCAUCAGUUCUGGCGGUCGGAUAAAGGCGGUGGGAAUGUGGCUCCUCUCGGGGAGUGUUAUAGCCCAUCGUGCAAUGCGGCCAGCUGGGACUGAGGUCCGCGCUUCGGCUAGGAUGCUGGCGUAAUGGUUGUAAGCGGCCCGUCUUGAAACACGGACCAAGGAGUCUAACAUCUGUGCGAGUGUUUGGGUGUCAAGCCCAGGCGCGUAAUGAAAGUGAACGGAGGCGGGAACCUUCGGGUGCACCGUCGACCGAUCCUGAUGUCUUCGGAUGGAUUUGAGUAAGAGCAUAGCUGUUGGGACCCGAAAGAUGGUGAACUAUGCCUGAAUAGGGUGAAGCCAGAGGAAACUCUGGUGGAGGCUCGCAGCGGUUCUGACGUGCAAAUCGAUCGUCAAAUUUGGGCAUAGGGGCGAAAGACUAAUCGAACUAUCUAGUAGCUGGUUCCUGC